UUGGAUCAGGCUUUUUAAUUUUUUUUCCUUCUCUUCUUUUUUCCUUUUUUUUCUUUCUUUUUCUUUGGAAUCAGACUUACAGUUUUUUGGUUCUCUGUUUGGGUUUUUUUUUGUUCCCUUUCCUUUUCUCUAUUUUUGGGAUCAUCUCUCCCCUCCCUCGCCCCCUUUUUUCCAUGGUUACUUCAACAAACAAACCAAAGCACAUUUAGUUAAAGGUCCAGGCACUCCACCACUGACAGCAAGGAGGAGGUCUGCAGAGGACUGACCAGUAGGAAAGAACAUCCAAAAUGCAGCAGGUUUAUUUUUAGAGAGCACGCAUGUGCACAUGCAUGUGUGGGGAACAGGAAGAGAGAGAGGAAGAGAGAGAGAAUCCCAAACAGGCUCCACACUGUCAGUGCAGAGCCUGAUGUGGGGCUCGAACCUACAAACCAUGAGAUCAUGACCUGAGCUGAAACCAAGAGUCAGAUGCUUAACUGACUGAGCCACACAGGUGCUGUCUGGAGCCCAAUAUUCUCCAUGACGUCUUCUCUGGUAUGCACAAUUAGAACAGAUAAGGAACUUCUCUUGCCAGGUGUGUGGACAGCCUGUGGAAGCAGCCCAGGUAAGAAAAUUCCUGUGUUAUGCCAAACUUUUUCUCUCAUUUCUUAGGACCUUGUUGGGCUCAAAUUUUGGGGUUGGAAGGUCACCUCUGAUAUUUCUCUGGAUCCACUGCCUUCAGAUUAGAAACUGAACCUGUCCUGAGAUUGGUUUCUUGCUGACUUGUGUACCCUGGAUAUUUUUUUCCUGUCUGUACAUCCUUUGGUCAAGCCAGCAUGGCGUUAUUCUGCUAAAGUUUGCCCACUUCCAGGAAACAGAAGAGUGUAAAGUGUAUCUCUUUUCUGCUCACUGAGCACUUGUCCCUGUGGCAGGAACUGGUCCUAACAGGUGAGGAUGAAACCAAGCCCUCAGCAGCAAAACAUGCCACUCUUGUUUAUCCUGGUGGUGAAUGCUCCCUUUGAUUCAGUUUAAUGGGGAUCCCUAUUCAGCUGAUAGUUGACCCCAAUGGUUUUCAAAAUGUGGUCUUCAGAAGAGCAACAACAUCAGUCUCACCUGGGACUUGUUAGAAUGCAAAUUCCCA